rnacentral:tRNA from 1 species
GUGGUGGCUCAGUGGUAGAGCGUUCGCCUAGUGUAUGUGAGGCCUGGAGUUCGAUCCUCAACACCACA